AACGAACGCUGGCGGCAGGCUUAACACAUGCAAGUCGAGCGCCUCGCAAGGGGAGCGGCAGACGGGUGAGUAACGCGUGGGAACAUGCCCAAAGGUACGGAACAACUCCGGGAAACUGGAGCUAAUACCGUAUGUGACCGAGAGGUGAAAGAUUUAUCGCCUUUGGAUUGGCCCGCGUUGGAUUAGCUAGUUGGUGGGGUAAAGGCCUACCAAGGCGACGAUCCAUAGCUGGUCUGAGAGGAUGAUCAGCCACACUGGGACUGAGACACGGCCCAGACUCCUACGGGAGGCAGCAGUGGGGAAUAUUGGACAAUGGGCGCAAGCCUGAUCCAGCCAUGCCGCGUGAGUGAUGAAGGUCUUAGGAUUGUAAAGCUCUUUCACCGGUGAAGAUAAUGACGGUAACCGGAGAAGAAGCCCCGGCUAACUUCGUGCCAGCAGCCGCCGUAACAC
rnacentral:rRNA from 1 species